GAUAAACGCUGGCGGCAUGCCUAAUACAUGCAAGUCGAACGGACAUAGCAAUAUGUUAGUGGCGAACGGGUGAGUAACACGUAAGCAACCAACCUUUAAGACGAGGAUACCUACUGGAAACGGUAGUUAAUACUGGAUAGGACACAAUGUCAAAAGAUGAUGUGUUUAAAGGCGCUGAAAGGCGCCGCUAAAAGCUGGGCUUGCGGCGCAUUAGAUAGUUGGUGAGGUAACGGCCCACCAAGUCAACGAUGCGUAGCUGGGCUGAGAGGCCGAACAGCCACACUGGGACUGAGACACGGCCCAGACUCCUACGGGAGGCAGCAGUAGGGAAUUUUCGGCAAUGGGCGAAAGCCUGACCGAGCAAUGCCGCGUGAAUGAAGAAGGUCUUCGGAUUGUAAAGUUCUGUUAAUGGGAAAGAAAGGUAUGCCUAGGAAAUGAGGUAUAUUUGACGGUACCCGUUUAGAAAGCCCCGGCUAACUACGUGCCAGCAGCCGCGGUAAAGAGUCGUGU
rnacentral:rRNA from 1 species